AAUAGCUCGUACUCCCCGAAAUGUUUUUAGGAACAGCCUCGCAUAUAUGUACCGGAGGUAGGGCUCUGAUUGGGCUAGGGCUGUCACAACGGUACCGAACCCAGAUAAACUUCAAAUACCGGAUACAGUUAGUGCGGGAGUGAGGCAGCGAGGGAUAAGCUUCGUUGCCGAGAGGGAAAGAACCCAGACCGCCGAUUAAGGUCCCCAAAUGUAUGCUAACAGAUAAAGGAUGUGCAGUUGCAUAGACAGCUAGGAUGUUGGCUUAGAAGCAGCCACCAUUUAAAAAGUGCGUAAUAGCUUACUGGUCGAG
rnacentral:rRNA from 1 species